AGCGGCGGACGGGUGAGUAAUGCCUGGGAAUAUGCCCUGAUGUGGGGGAUAACUAUUGGAAACGAUAGCUAAUACCGCAUAAUCUCUUCGGAGCAAAGAGGGGGACCUUCGGGCCUCUCGCGUCAGGAUUAGCCCAGGUGGGAUUAGCUUGUUGGUGAGGUAAUGGCACACCAAGGCAACGAUCCCUAGCUGGUCUGAGAGGAUGAUCAGCCACACUGGAACUGAGACACGGUCCAGACUCCUACGGGAGGCGGCAGUGGGGAAUAUUGCACAAUGGGGGAAACCCUGAUGCAGCCAUGCCGCGUGUGUGAAGAAGGCCUUCGGGUUGUAAAGCACUUUCAGUAGGGAGGAAGGUAGUGUAGUUAACACCUGCACUAUUUGACGUUACCUACAGAAGAAGCACCGGCUAACUCCGUGCCAGCAGCCGCGGUCAUACGGAGGGUGCGAGCGUUAAUCGGAAUUACUGGGCGUAAAGCGCAUGCAGGCGGCCUGUUAAGUCAGAUGUGAAAGCCCGGGGCUUAACCUCGGAAUUGCAUUUGAAACUGGCAGG
rnacentral:rRNA from 1 species